CUGAGGGGACGGGGUGGGGAGGUGCUGCUGUCGGGGGGAGAGCCGUGGUGCCUCACCGGCGUGUGAGCGCCUCCUCCGGGGAACCCCCGGCCGCCCUUCUGCCGCUGUGGGGCACUGCCUGCCGUCGGUGCCUUCCUCUUGCGAGCGCCCUGUCUGGGGGAGUGCACUCUUCCCAGCGCUGUGGGGGAUGGCGGUGCUUUGUGGGCGCCGUUCCCCUCGUUGCUAUGCAUGUGUGCCUCAUCUCUCGUCGCCUGCUCUGGAUCCUCGUUUGUCCACAAGGGGCUGUUUCCACUCGUGCCUCAUGGAAAAAAGGUCAUCCUGUGCCUAGGUGCUAAAUGGCCUUUGUUGUCAUGAUGUCUUGCCCUAUUAAUUCAUCUGUCCUCCUCAGGUCAUCCCUGUAAAAACAAGCAACUGUUACUCCCACUUCACAGCCGAGGAGCCAAAAGAUGGAAAAAGUCAUUUCAAUAUAAUCAAUCUCACAGGUUAUGGAGUUGAAUCAGCUCAGGGAAGGACUAAAAGAUUACCAGUGUUGGAACAAGGCAAGAACACUAUCAAAGGGAGCGCAACCUCCUGUCUUAGCAGUAAAGGACCAUCAUGCUGCCCCUACUUCUCACUGCCAUGGAGUCUUCUACCUACCACAUUUCAUCUCUUUCCUUAAUGGAUUGGGACAUAUGUUUUGUUUGCUACAGCAAUCACCAAGGAAGAGGAAGCAUUUGGUUGCUCUUAGCUAUGUCUGCAAUACUGUGGUUAUUUGCUAUUCCAAGUAGACAGAGGUGAUGAUAACUGCUGGCACACACACUGGCUUGCUAUUAACCACUAAAUCCAAGCAGGCACAGAGUCACCUUUAUACAAGCACAUCUUGCGCAACUGUAGGUUGUAGUAUUACAUCUCUGCCUCUGUCAGUUCACUUACUUUGUCCGAGCUCUGCUGUUGGCUUGUGACAAACACAGGCAUUCCCAGAUGCGUAGCUGACGUUCGUCAUGUUGGACACAACAAACUUGGGUACUGCUGUGUUCAAGGGUCAGGAUCUUCAGUGUCAGUAGUAUAUAUAACUGGUGAAAUUAUAGGUUUUAGACUCAGUUGGGAAAACUGAGGAGAAACACUACUUCCCUUUACCUGGUUGUUCCUUUAAGUAGACGUGAGUAUUUCAAGAAUGCUUUGGCAGAACCCCAAACAUUAGUUGGCUUAGUUUGUGAACUUCUUAUGGAAAACUUUUUGGAAAUGCUUAAAAGGAGACUGCUCUCUAAGUUGUUUAUUUAGAAGUCUCUGGUUUUGGUUUUCAGUAAAUCCCAAAUUAAGCCAGAAUUAGACAGUGAUAUUUUGUAUGUUAAAACCUGAAAUAUCACCAGAUGCACUUCUGCAGAAAGAACAGUCAGCCCUGAAGAUCUUCAUGCUUGAUUUUUCUUUGCCUUGAGCAAAGGGAAAAAAAAGUACCGUGUGGAUUCAGCAGACUCAUGCAGGGAUCUCAUUCCUCCUCUGCUGUCUAUAAUUGUAGGUGGAAGACUGGCUAUGAAAUACAGUCUCACUGCUAAAUUUUUGAAAGCAAUGUACACUGCAAAGAAAUGUGUAAAAUAUAUUGUGCCAGGUUUCUUUCUGACAUGCUAUCCAAUUACCACUUUUUUAGUAUUUGGCCUCCAAAUAAAUGUUUCAUGUGACUUUGAAACCUCUUGGCUUUUUAUAUAUCCAAUGUGAAUUUUCAAUGAAAUAAAAAUAAAAAAGUUAUAGAAAUAUAUAUCUGCAUGUGCGAGGAUAUGCAGUUCUUGUAAGACCUUGCAUUGAAAAUGUUGCUAAAAUGUGUA